AGGACGAACGCUGGCGGCGCGCCUAAUACAUGCAAGUCGAGCGAGAACCGGGACUUCGGUCCCGGGGACAGCGGCGAACGGGUGCGUAACACGUGAGCAACCUGCCCCGAAGACCGGGACAAGCCGGGGAAACCUGGUCUAAUACCGGAUGCCCUCACCGAAUCGCAUGGUGUGGUGAGGAAAUGGAUUCCGCUUCGGGAUGGGCUCGCGGUCUAUCAGCUUGUUGGUGAGGUAAUGGCCCGCCAAGGCGACGACGGAUAGCUGGUCUGAGAGGACGAUCAGCCACACUGGGACUGAGACACGGCCCAGACUCCUACGGGAGGCAGCAGUAGGGAAUCUUGCGCAAUGAGGGAAACCUUGACGCAGCGACGCCGCGUGCGGGAUGAAGGCCUUCGGGUUGUAAACCGCUUUCAGCGGGGACGAAUUGACGGUACCUGCAGAAGAAGGCCCGGCCAACUACGUGCCAGCAGCCGC
rnacentral:rRNA from 1 species